GCACUGGUGGUUCAGUGGUAGAAUUCUUGCCUUGCAUUCAGGAGACGCAGGUUCGAUUCUCAGUCAAUGCA
rnacentral:tRNA from 1 species